GGGCACAGAAAGCAGCCUCAGUGGUGGAGGGGAGAUGUUCCUGGGUAGCACAGCGUGGUGAUGCUCUUCCUGCAGGGUGCAAGCAAAGGGGACAAAGAGGCUGCGGUGUCCCCAGGUGACACUCGCUGCCCAGGCGGGGACACCCACUCACCCCAAAUCACUGCCAUGUGGGGUGCACCAAAGCACGGAUCCCUCGUGGGAUAAGGCAGCAAUGGGCACAGGGAUGCGGUGACACGGCUGUCACCGGCCGCAGUGGAAAGCCGUGGGUGCAGAGAGGUCACCUGGGAUGCAGGGAGAGGCUUUGGGGAUGGCGUGCUGGGGACGAGCCAGCAGCACCCCGUGUCAUCUGGUCCUUCUGGGGAGGGAGAAGGAUCGUGUCAAAUGCGAUUAAGUGGAUGAAGGACGGAGCAGAUAAAGCGGAGCUGCAGCCCAUCUCGUGCACUAACUGAAUUGCAGCUUUCCAGGCAGUGAACAAAUGAAAUCAGGGCUCAAGACCUGGCCAUCAGUGGGAGCAGUGGGGCUGUGCUUCAGGAGGAGAGGAGAAGCAAAGGCAAGAGGAGACAUUCCUGCAGCAGAGCCAGAGGCUGCCUCACAUUUGGAGCACCAACACCCAAAAAGAGCAGCUCCAGAAGAGGUAGCAAAGCUCUCAGCAAAGGCUCUCCCCGUGGAGCCGAAUCCCGAGCCCUGUUCCUUGUGUUUCUCCUCCUUCCCCUCCAUGCAUCAUCCCUAUUUACUCUGGGAAGCCAAACUGCAGAGGCUGCUGGUUAUAAUUAUACAGUUACCCAGCAGAUAUCCAGGCCUGAAUCACCCGUUAUUUUUAGCCCUAUUACCUAGUCAACUGGAGCUGGGUGAAGAAGAGCCUCCACCCUCCCCUCACCCCAUCCCAGCCCCCCUCCGACCCAUGAGCCCAGCACUCUCAGGCGUGAUGCUGGGCUGCAGGUUACAGCCAGGUGCUCACAUCCUAUGGCCCUCCUGCACCAGUUCCAAGAGGAGAGCACCUUUCUUGGCCAACGUCGCCAAUAAUGGCAUGACUACACUGCUUCCACCCAAAGAGACCUCAUUACAAGGUUAGCACAGCCCAAAGCUACACCGAUGCUAGCAUGGCAGUUGGGGCAUCCUGGCGUAGCACAAGUUGAGGUGGCACUGAGGUCCACUCCACCAAAUGAAGCUCAGCCCCAUGCAAAGCUUACAAGCGCUCAUUCCACUUGACCCAGCAUAUACAACCGGCAUCCAAAGGUCCCUUUUUUCCAGCCCAUCACACAGUGGGCACAAACCCAUCACCAAAAAGCUUUGCCCAUAGCCAAGCCCUCAAAAGCUCGAUGCACAACAAACCCUGGGGUGGGUGAAUUUCCUGGAAAGAGAUGGCAGCCACACAUGGCACGGCAACCAAGAUACAGCUCCCACUCUACACACUUGCCUAGGGAUGCAUCCCUUCUUUUUGAGGAAAAGAAUUAAUAUAAAUUAACAAACCAGCCCAUCUCCCUCCUGCAAUGCAAGUCCUAGGGAGGAAUAACACCAUAGGGUUGCUGCAGCACAGUGGCCAUGCACCAACUGGCAGGUGAGCACCACACUGGCAUGGGACCCCGGCCCAUAGCCCUGCUCAGAGGAACAGCCGAGCAGCGAGAGCCCUCCCACAUCGUGCUGGGAAAGCACAUGAAUAAUUUGGCAUAUUCUGGAAAACAAGACCCAGCGGCCCAGCGAGCACCCUGCAGUGCUCCGAGUGCAGCUGCUGCCUCGCUGAUGCUCUGCACCCAGCACAGGGCUGGGCAUGGCACGGCGGGGAUUCAGCAAAGCUGCCCUCAUCCCACAGUGCCCUGCACCUCUAUGGCACAGCUGGACCCCCAGCAGGCCCUGGGGUGAACCCAGAGGCUGCAGUGCACCAGUACACAGGGUUAUGCCCCCAGCAAUGCUCAGCAUGGGGUGGCAGCCCCAUGGGUGUCCCCAGGGCACCUGUUGCACUGAGUCACCCCGUAUCUGCUGGGCACCUCCAUCCCACACCCAAGGAGCCAGCAAGUUGCCCAACAAGUUGCAGGGAGAGGAAGCGACGGCGAGAGCUGCACAUAAUCACCACUGCAGAGAGCGCUACGGGGAGGGUCCUGGAGCCAAAGCAUGGCCACGGGGAAGUUUGUGGGUUUGGGAGGGGAGCGGGGUGCUGAGCAGAGGUGUGAUGGAGAGGGGCAUGCAGCAGGGCUGGGUACCAAGCACAGUUCCCAGGGCACCUGCAGGGAAGGUGGGAGGAGAGAGAAAUGCAUGGCGGGUGCAAAAGGAUGGGGGAGCAGGAGAAGGAGUGGGAGAUUCAUGCCCUCUGCCUGGUGUAUUCCUGAGGCAAUCCCUGGAGCAGACGCAGCAGGAGGCAGGCAGAGGGGAGGAACAACGAUCUGUUGACGGUGAAGCAGUUCUGCCGGACGGGGAUGGGGUUGUACAGAGCCAUAGUCCGGGCUCGCUGCGCUUUGGUUUGCUUGAAGGCUCCCGGGGACCCUCCCGCCGGAGCAGCGGCUCCUUGCCGGCUGCGGUUCUGCUCGGAGCCCCCAUCCCCGGAGCCCAGCCUGCCAGCCACCGCCUCCCCGAAGCGAGCCAUCCUGCAAGAAAGCGCACAGCACCCAGCGCAGCGCAGGGGAGGCCGGCGAACAGGUUGCAGCGCGAUCCAGCCUAGUUGAAGCCAAGUGGCCAACUUCCUCCCGCCGCCUCCAUCUUCGGCAGCCCCCCCGGGAGCCCCCCGGCCCCUCUGCAGG